rnacentral:rRNA from 1 species
UACGUAGGGUGCGAGCGUUGUCCGGAAUUAUUGGGCGUAAAGAGCUCGUAGGCGGUGUGUCACGUCGGCCGUGAAAACCUGGGGCUUAACUCUGGGCGUGCGGUCGAUACGGGCAUCACUAGAGUUCGGCAGGGGAGACUGGAAUUCCUGGUGUAGCGGUGAAAUGCGCAGAUAUCAGGAGGAACACCGGUGGCGAAGGCGGGUCUCUGGGCCGAUACUGACGCUGAGGAGCGAAAGCUAGGGGAGCAAACGGG